rnacentral:rRNA from 1 species
CCUACGGGGGGCAGCAGUGAGGAAUAUUGGUCAAUGGGCGCGAGCCUGAACCAGCCAAGUAGCGUGAAGGAUGACUGCCCUACGGGUUGUAAACUUCUUUUAUAAAGGAAUAAAGUGAGGCACGUGUGCCUUUUUGUAUGUACUUUAUGAAUAAGGAUCGGCUAACUCCGUGCCAGCAGCCGCGGUAAUACGGAGGAUCCGAGCGUUAUCCGGAUUUAUUGGGUUUAAAGGGAGCGUAGAUGGGUUGUUAAGUCAGUUGUGAAAGUUUGCGGCUCAACCGUAAAAUUGCAAUUGAUACUGGCUGUCUUGAGUACAGUUGAGGUAGGCGGAAUUCGUGGUGUAGCGGUGAAAUGCUUAGAUAUCACGAAGAACUCCGAUUGCGAAGGCAGCUUACUAACCUGCCACUGACAUUGAUGCUCGAAAGUGUGGGUAUCAAACAGGAUUAGAUACCCCUGUAGUC